UACGAAGGGGGCUAGCGUUGUUCGGAUUUACUGGGCGUAAAGCGCACGUAGGCGGAUCGUUAAGUCGGGGGUGAAAUCCUGGAGCUCAACUCCAGAACUGCCUUCGAUACUGGCGAUCUUGAGUCCGGGAGAGGUGAGUGGAACUGCGAGUGUAGAGGUGAAAUUCGUAGAUAUUCGCAAGAACACCAGUGGCGAAGGCGGCUCACUGGCCCGGUACUGACGCUGAGGUGCGAAAGCGUGGGGAGCAAACAGG
rnacentral:rRNA from 1 species